ACAUUGGGACUGAGAUACGGCCCAGACUCCUACGGGAGGCAGCAGUGAGGAAUUUUGCGCAAUGGGUGAAAUCCUGACGCAGCAACGCCGCGUGACCGAUUGAAGCUUUUAGGAGUGUAAAGGUCUGUCGCGAGGGAAGAAAAUAACCGAGAAGAAAAGUUCGGUAGUUGACGGUACCUCGCAAGCAAGCUCCGGCUAACUUCGUGCCAGCAGCCGCGGUAAUACGAGGGGAGCAAGCGUUGUCCGAAAUAACUGGGCGUAAAGGGUACGUAGGCUUUUUUGUAUGUUUUCGGUGAAAGUCACAGGCUUAACUUGUGAAUUGCCGGAAAAACUGCAGAGAUUGAAUCCGAAAGGGGAAGGCAGAAUUCCUGGUGUAGCGGUGAAAUGCGUAGAUAUCAGGAGGAAUACCAGUGGCGAAGGCGGCUUUCUGGUUCGGAAUUGACGCUGAUGUACUAAAGCGUGGGUAGCAAACAGGAUUAGAUACCCUGGUAGUCCACGCCUUAAACUAUGGAUACUUGAUGUCGGGGCGUUCGGUCGACCCGGUGUCGUAGCUAACGUGUUAAGUAUCCCGCCUGGGGACUACGGUCGCAAGACUGAAACUCAAAGGAAUUGACGGGGGCCCGCACCAGCGGUGGAACAUGUGGUUUAAUUCGAUGCAACGCGAAGAACCUUACCUGGGCUUGACAUAUAUAUGGCGUAUGUAAGAAAUUAUGUAUUCUGUCUGUUUUUUCAGAUAGCAUAUAUACAGGUGAUGCAUGGCUGUCGUCAGCUCGUGUCAUGAGAUGUAGGGUUAAGUCCCUUAACGAGCGCAACCCUUGCUUUUAGUUGCCAUCAGGUAAUGCUGGGGACUCUAGAAGGACUGCCGAGGUUAACUCGGAGGAAGGUGGGGAUGACGUCAAGUCAGUAUGUCCCUUAUGUCCAGGGCUACACACGUGUUACAAUGGUCGGUACAGAGUGACGCUAAUCCACGAGGUGGCGCCAAUCACUUAAAGCCGAUCCCAGUUCGGAUUGGAGUCUGCAAUUCGACUCCAUGAAGUUGGAAUCGCUAGUAAUCGCAGAACAGCAUGCUGCGGUGAAUACGUUCCCGGGCCUUGUACACACCGCCCGUCACGCCAUGGAAGUUGGGAGUACCCGAAGUUGCUGUCC
rnacentral:rRNA from 1 species